rnacentral:rRNA from 1 species
GUGACUGCGUACCUUUUGUAUAAUGGGUCAGCGACUUAUAUUCUGUAGCAAGGUUAACCGUAUAGGGGAGCCGUAGGGAAACCGAGUCUUAACCGGGCGUUAAGUUGCAGGGUAUAGACCCGAAACCCGGUGAUCUAGCCAUGGGCAGGUUGAAGGUUGGGUAACACUAACUGGAGGACCGAACCGACUAAUGUUGAAAAAUUAGCGGAUGACCUGUGGCUGGGGGUGAAAGGCCAAUCAAACCGGGAGAUAGCUGGUUCUCCCCGAAAGCUAUUUAGGUAGCGCCUCGUGAAUUCAUCUCCGGGGGUAGAGCACUGUUUCGGCUAGGGGGCCAUCCCGGCUUACCAACCCGAUGCAAACUGCGAAUACCGGAGAAUGUUAUCACGGGAGACACACGGCGGGUGCUAACGUCCGUCGUGAAGAGGGAAACAACCCAGACCGCCAGCUAAGGUCCCAAAGUCAUGGUUAAGUGGGAAACGAUGUGGGAAGGCCCAGACAGCCAGGAUGUUGGCUUAGAAGCAGCCAUCAUUUAAAGAAAGCGUAAUAGCUCACUGGUCGAGUCGGCCUGCGCGGAAGAUGUAACGGGGCUAAACCAUGCACCGAAGCUGCGGCAGCGAACGUAUCACCCAAGACAACUUUACGGAGUUGACGAUUGACGGAGCGAAGCGACGUCAAAGCGUUCAUUAAAGUCGAGUUGGCUUAGGGAUACGUUCGUUGGGUAGGGGAGCGUUCUGUAAGCCUGUGAAGGUGUGUCGUGAGGCAUGCUGGAGGUAUCAGAAGUGCGAAUGCUGACAUAAGUAACGAUAAAGCGGGUGAAAAGCCCGCUCGCCGGAAGACCAAGGGUUCCUGUCCAACGUUAAUCGGGGCAGGGUGAGUCGACCCCUAAGGCGAGGCCGAAAGGCGUAGUCGAUGGGAAACGGGUUAAUAUUCCCGUACUUGGUGUUACUGCGAAGGGGGGACGGAGAAGGCUAUGUUGGCCGGGCGACGGUUGUCCCGGUUUAAGCGUGUAGGUGUGUGUUCCAGGUAAAUCCGGUU